rnacentral:rRNA from 1 species
GACGAACGCUGGCGGCGUGCUUAACACAUGCAAGUCGAACGGAAAGGCCCUGCUUUUGGGGGGUGCUCGAGUGGCGAACGGGUGAGUAACACGUGAGUAACCUGCCCUUGACUUUGGGAUAACUUCAGGAAACUGGGGCUAAUACCGGAUAGGAGCUCCUGCUGCAUGGUGGUGGUUGGAAAGUUUCGGCGGUUGGGGAUGGACUCGCGGCUUAUCAGCUUGUUGGUGGGGUAGUGGCUUACCAAGGCUUUGACGGGUAGCCGGCCUGAGAGGGUGACCGGCCACAUUGGGACUGAGAUACGGCCCAGACUCCUACGGGAGGCAGCAGUGGGGAAUAUUGCACAAUGGGCGGAAGCCUGAUGCAGCAACGCCGCGUGCGGGAUGACGGCCUUCGGGUUGUAAACCGCUUUCGCCUGUGACGAAGCGUGAGUGACGGUAAUGGGUAAAGAAGCACCGGCUAACUACGUG